GCCCGCGGCUGCCCGCGUUCUCCGGAAUGAUUGGGCGUACAGCGUCUGUAGGUGGCUUUUUAAGUCUGCCGUCAAAUCCCAGGGCUUAACCCUGGACAGGCGGUGGAAACUACCAAGCUGGAGUACGGUAGGGGCAGGGGGAAUUUCCGGUGGAGCGGUGAAAUGCGUAGAGAUCGGAAAGAACACCAACGGCGAAAGCACUCUGCUGGGCCGACACUGACACUGAGAGACGAAAGCUAGGGGAGCGAAUGGG
rnacentral:rRNA from 1 species